UAGCUCAGUGGUUAGAGCAGGCGACUCAUAAUCGCUUGGUCGCUGGUUCAAGUCCAGC
rnacentral:tRNA from 6 species